rnacentral:lncRNA from 1 species
AUGAACAUCAUGUUGACGAACGUCCUUGACGCAGCUGCUGGUGCACUGUCUUAUUACCUCUUUGGUUUUGCCUUUGCCUUUGGUUCACCUUCUAAUGGUUUCAUAGGACGCCACUUCUUUGGACUUAAAGCUUACCCUUCUCCUUCGGGUGAUUAUAGUUUCUUUCUUUAUCAAUGGGCUUUUGCUAUAGCCGCUGCCGGGAUUACCAGCGGGUCCAUAGCUGAAAGAACCCAAUUCGUGGCUUAUCUUAUGUACUCUUCCUUUUCAACCGGCUUCGUUUACCCCAUAGUUUCACAUUGGUUUUGGUCGGGUGACGGGUGGGCCAGUGCGACCCGAUCAGAAAACCUUUUGUUCGGUUCGGGUGUGAUUGACUUUGCGGGUUCGGGUGUGGUUCACAUGGUUGGUGGCAUUGCUGGCUUAUGGGGUGCGUUGAUUGAGGGUCCGAGGUUUGGCAGGUUCGAUCGGGCUGGUCGCUCCGUGGCGUUACGCGGGCAUAGUGCCUCGCUAGUAGUUCUGGGGACGUUCCUUUUGUGGUUCGGGUGGUACGGGUUUAACCCGGGUUCGUUUUUGACCAUCGCGAAAGGGUAUGGUGGGGGUGGGGGUUAUUAUGGGCAAUGGAGUGCUAUAGGGAGGACAGCUGUCACGACGACAAUGGCUGGGUGCACAGCUGGCCUUACAACCUUGUUUAGUAAAAGGUUAUUAGUUAGUAAUUGGAGUGUUAUCGAUGUUUGCAAUGGUUUGCUAGGGGGCUUUGCUGCAAUUACCUCAGGGUGUUCAGUAGUAGAACCAUGGGCUGCAAUCAUAUGUGGCUUUGUGGCCGCAUGGGUUCUAAUUGGAUUCAACAUUCUUGCAUCCAAAUGGAAGUAUGACGACCCACUAGAGGCAGCCCAAUUACAUGGGGGGUGUGGCGCGUGGGGUUUACUCUUCACCGGAUUGUUUGCAACAGAGGCAUACGUCAACGAGGUGUAUCCGGGCCGGCCGGGGCGCCCGUACGGAUUGUUCAUGGGUGGUGGAGGGAAGCUGCUAGGGGCACAAAUCUUUCAAAUUUUGGUCAUAGCAGGGUGGGUCACGGCCACAAUGGGGCCACUCUUUUAUGUGCUACACAAAAUGAAGUUGUUAAGGAUUUCCGAGAAUGAUGAAACUGCUGGGAUGGACUUGACUAGGCAUGGGGGAUUUGCUUAUGCAUACCAUGAUGCGGAGGAUCUUUCCCUGACGCCAGGGUUCAUGAUGACCAAAAUUGAACCUACUAAUAGAAGUCCUUCAGGGUCAAACAACACCCUCCAAUGUAUGAAUCAAAUUUAGCGGUUCGUCCCUUGAAAUUGUAUACCUUAAUUAAUGUCUGUUAUAUACAAAGUACAUAAGAUAAUGGGUAGAAUACAUAACUUUUUCAAUUUUUGAUUAUAAUAAUAUACGAGUCUAUUAAUUUUUUCAAAAUAAAUAUUAUUUUUUAAAUAUGUAAAUAGUAUUAAUAUUUCAAUAUAAAAUAUCUAAAAUAUUUUUUUUAUUUUUUUUAUUCUUUCUUUUUCUCUCAAGCCGGUUGGUGACAUUCCCUUAUACCAGUAUUCCAUGGUUAGAUCCGAUCGGAUCUCUUUGGGCUUUCUUCAACAAUAUUGUCGUUCGUGGGUAGUUGGAUGGGAUGGAAAGAAUAUUUUUUUGAAAAAAAAAAGAGCUUAAAAUAAAAAAUUAUAAUAUAUAUAAUGAUAAUUUUUAAAAUUAAUGAGAGGUAAAAUUAUCAUAAAAAUAUUAUCAUGUCGUCAGAUUAAUAAAAAUAUUAACGAUUAACUAAUGGUAAGAUUUAUGUGGAUUAAAAAUUAAUGAACUCGUUUGUAAUUAUGAUAAAAAAAGAAAAGGGUAGACGCAUCCUUCUUCUUUGAAAAGGAAAUUAUCAUAAUCUUUGAUUAACCUGUUUUCUAGAAACCAGAUCAGUUAGGUUCCACCAACAUGUAUUAAAGUUGGAAUAUGGUUUUGUCUAGACACAUUUGCACAAUUAUAAACUGGAGACGAAUUUACUUCUGGGAAAGAGAUUGGUUUCAUGCUUUCCUUUUUGAGUUCCAGAGAAAAUACUACUGGGAACUUGGACAAGGAAAGGAACCAAAAAUGACCAUACAAAAAGAAAGCAAAGAACAUCACAAGACAGCCAAUAUUAUAGAUUUGGAUUAUGAAGUUCCUUACACAGCAAUGGCAAAAAUUUUAAGAAAAAAAGAAGUUUCUUAGACAGCCUGUCUAACUGAAAAGGAAAGAUAAAUGGAAGGCCAUCAGUCCAUUCUGUUCAUCAGAAGGAACUGUUCAUCAGGUAGAUGGCAUCCCUCCACCUGUUCUAGGAUGUAUCUUCAAUCAAAUGCACCUGAAGUGAUUACCAAACACAAGUUUUUUCCAAUUGCAGUUUGGAGACCUUCAGCUUGAGGUAACAUCUGAGAAAGCCAACAUAUGAGCUGCAAUAGGUUUAGUUUUCGGGUAAAUAUCUCAUUUACACUGUGAUUUCUCUUUUCUACAUUUAUUUAUGACAACAAAUCAUAUAAUAAUGUAUAUAACAGCUCUUAAUCUUUAAAAUAUAGAAUUCUUUCAUGGCAAAUAGCUCAGGGAAUCCAAAGCAUUCCAGAGAGUUCAUUGGAAUUUGCAAAUGACAAAGCUCUGCUUCUAGCUAAGGUGCUUAAAAAUGGAGUCUCUGAUUCCAUUGGAACUUGUUCUCUCGCAUAACCUGUGCCCAUAGUUGGAUACUAAAACUUGAACCUUUUUUGAUGCAGUCUUUAAGGGGAGCACUGCUUACACUUUUCUAUUUAUCCACAUUCUUGUCUGCUCUCACCAUUAUAGGCCUUGUCUUACUUGGAAGACAACUAAAGUCUGAGGAAAAGUGACCUUGGAGCUGUGUUGCCUCAAUUUUGCUUAAAAGUUGGCUUAGAUUAGAUUCUUCUUAGACAACUACAACCUGCAGCUUUGAUAAUCAAUAAUCAAGAACAGUAUGGAAGUAAGGCUGCUGUCCGUCUGUGACUUCAGAAAGUACAAAAAUUUUGUGAUUAUGAAAAUGUAGUUAUGUCUUUUACUUAGCAGAUCCCAACUUGUUUCAGAUUAAGGCUUAGCUGAGUUGAGCUCAGCUGUCAUCUGGUUCUCUCUUUUGGUUCUUUGGAACAAGAGAAGAUUGAUAAUUCAUCUGACUGCAAGCUUAUUCUUAUGUUUCCUUCCUUCUUUUUUUUUUUUUUUUUUUUGUUUUUCCAUGGAGAAACCAAUCAGCUGACUUCUUGUAAAUGAAUAAGACAAAUUGACACUGCUGAUGUACAAUUUAUACACUUCCAAGUUUGGGGAAAAGCUCCACCUUGAAUGACAUAAAGAGAUGAAGUGAACUGCUGGAAUCUACAUAUGAAUAGGUAUUGGUAUCUAAGCUGUCUAUGGUUUUCAGAGUUGAUAUUGAGAUGUUAGAAGUUCUGCAAAUUUAAAGAAAACCGUCUCUUUUUAAGUCUCACUCUCACAUUUCUAUGAAGGACUUUCAAGUAGAAAACAUGCUUGUCUCAGUUGAGGAUUUCACAAUUAUCAAAUGUUCUGAAAGAAAUUAGGAGAUAAUUAGGAGAUUUAAAAUAUCUCAACUCUCAAUUUGCCAUGGCUUUCUCAUAACUUAUGAUGGUUGGUAUGUGCUUUGAAAGAUUUCAUUUUAGAUAUAUAUAAGGUGAUCAGAGGAACUAUCAUGUUGUGCAUAGAAGCCUAGUGCUUUAGGAGUCAAUCUAUGUUUUCCACUCUCUUGCACUUAAGGUUGUUGCAUUCACUGGUUAAAUGGUUUAAAUCAGCCAAAACAAGGUUUGCACAAAGGGAGGCAAAUGGAUCUUUCUUGCAGGUGCCUUCAAGCUAUAGUUGACCUCUUCUCUAGUCACAGGUACACCAUCUGCUUCCAAAAGGCAAAGACGAGUGCAUCAGAGAUUGUAAAGCAGACUUUUCCCUGGCACAAGCAAGCAGUAUUGAUAGUUGACUCUGCAUAGCAUAAUUGAAUGAUUAAUUCUGCUUCCUGUUACUCAAAGCAUAUUUUGCUUACUGUGUCAAUGUUGACAGGAAAAUGACAUGCCGCGGCGACUUGGUUAUAAAGCAAUGUUUUUGACAUUACCUUCAUCUCAAUUAUUCAGAAAGUUAAGAUUCUUCAACUCAUGAAUUGUGAUGAAGUCAUUCAUAUCAAGGUAAUUGCCAAUAAUGCUCUUAUCACUCUUGGUUUUAGGUAACUUAUAUUGAAUAAUUGAAGCUUUGGUUGUCAGUUUCCUAUUGCUGGUGCAAAUCUGUUGCAUAGUCACACUCUGUGGCAACUUGUCGAUGCAUGGAAAUCUGUGGCGUGAUGCAAUCUGUUUUGAGUUAUAAAAUUUUAGAUUCUUCAGCUUGUGAAGAGGCCAUCCGACUCUAACAGUGAAGCCAAAGGACCAAAAAUGCUGUCACAAUCUGGUGAGGCAUAACCAUGGUUUUAUGCACACCUUCUUGCUUAAUUAAUUGAGGUUAUGACAUCAAUGAUCACAUAAUUAUGGUUAAGAAAACACUAAUCACAACAUUAACUUAUUGGUUUGAGACUUUUGAGGCAUGGAGUGACUGCAAGUUCACCGAGAAGCCAUGCCCUUCGCUUGCUUCUGGUGCUCACCGGGAUUAAAUUAAUCACUAAAGGUUGCAUCUAACAUAUCACUUUCACUGUUUGUGUUUUUUAUAAAUGAAUCUUUCUUCAAUUAUGGUGGCUCCCUAUGAAGAACCUUUGAUUGAAAACUUUUGUUUUCUUGAAAUGUAUGGUGAAGUGUUGCCAAAUAAAAUAUAGACUUUUAAUUGCCACAUGCAACCUCAAUGAUUUGCUGCCUCACAAAUUGAAUAAUGAUAUUAGAGGGUCAAUUACUGACAAACAAAUAGAUUAAACAUAUAUUCAUCCAAUACAAUUUUCAUACUUAAGUCAGCAGCUUAAAAAACUAAUUGAAGUACAUCUGAAAAGGGAGCAGGGAUCUUCAAAUCCAACCAAUUUUGAUGCAAUACCCUAAGAUUAAAUAAUCAUGGGAUCCAUUUUGCACUUUUGAUUAGAAGCUAGUGACUGUGGUUGGUAAUGGAUUCCUCCAAUGGCACGUGUGCUGAUGGUACAAUUGAAGGGUUUUUUUUAUUCAGAUUUGGAAUCAAAACCAGAGAUUCUUUGUAUCUUGGACAGAACUAAAUCAUCGAUGAACAACUUUGCUUUGUAUUAUAAUUGCAGUUAGGGUGCAAAAUCACUUUCACAAGCUACAUGAUCUAAAUAAUAUAAUUUAGAAAAGAAAAACCAUAAUAAAAAAUUGCCCUUUUCCACUCAAAUCUCAAUUUUUAUUAAAAUUUUUGAAUCUGCUCUGUAUUGAUUCUGCCAUAUGAAAAAAGUCCAUACUAGUAUUAAUGCAUCAGAUUGGACGAGAAUAAGGUAAUCUUUUGAGUUAAAAUAAAAUUUUAAUAUGUUUAUAUUUAUUUAUAUAGAAUAUUGGAAAUAUAACAAGGGUGUCAACGAUGUUGUCUUGGCUUUGACAAAAAAACCAAGAGUUAAAUUCUACUGCAAUUAAUUGCUUUUUUGGCCUCAGACAUAUGGUUAUCUAAUUCUACUAUACAAUACUAAAUCAACAGGGAUGGAUUUUCGCUUUUUCUCUAUUAACAAAUAGACUCUUAAUAAUUAAUAAGGAAAUACACAAGCAUUUCAUGUUUAUUACGAGGUAUUCUUAUGGAGAUUUAGAUUUCUAAUUACUCUAAUUAGGUAAGGGUUUUCUUUUUUCUUCGAGAAAAAUUAAAGGCAAGACCUAGCUUUUAAUUUUUGUUAGCCUAAUUAACUGGCUUUUAAAAUGCUUUAAUAAUAAUAAUUGGACUUUUCCAGAUAUUUUUCCUAGUUGAAUAAUAUAUUGUUUUCCUUGGUUGGACUUUUAGAUUAAUGGCCCUGAAAUUAAAAAAUGUUCACAAAACCUUUACAUUGUACAAUAUGAAUCUUAAACCAAUCAAAAUAAAUAAAUUAAGCUAACAACAUUGACUUACGAAUUUUGCAUAUAUAUAAAAAAGAAAGUUUUGACCCAAAUGGUUACAGAUAUAGCCAUCCAUCUCCAUCAUAUGCGUCAUAUAAAGUUAAUUGUAAACAAUUGUUUCCAUUGUUUAAUUAAAUAAAAGAUUAAUUAAUUUCUUAAUUAUUGGUGACAGAAACAAAGCACGCCAUUUACCCCAAAACUGAUUACUCUGGGUUAAUUAACUCCGAGCUCGGGAAUAGAGAUUAAUUAAUUCGAGUGGACCAAAUUUGCUUUUAAUCUGGAGUUCCUUUACAUGUAAUGGUAAUUAGGUACAAAAUUUAAACUUGAUUUUUCUCAUAAUAGUUAUAUAUGGUCUUAAAUCAAAAUUUUUGAACACUUGUGGUUCUGAUAUGAAUCUUUUAGAACAUUAUAACUUAAUUAUGGAUAAAAAGAAUUGCUGUCACGAGAGGGUGAGGGGAUAGCAGCUCCUCCCACUUGGGGGCGGUCUCUGUUUUCUUUACCUCUUUAUUAUUCUCUUGAAAACUGGUUGCUGAACAAAUUGGCACCACUUGAUUCUCAUUUUAUCUCGUUCACACAUACACCUGUUCAUUCUUUUAACUUCCUUUCACUGUCUAUAUAAUCCCCCCUUGGCGGCCCUCUCUCUUUCCAUCCCCUCCUCCUCUUUCAUUUUUCCACCAUGGCUUCCCUCACUUGUACAGCCUCUGACCUCGUCCCCCUCCUCUCCUCUUCCUCCUCCACCAAUGCAACCGCCCUCGCCUCCUUCCUUUGCACUCGUUUUUCCACCAUCUCCGACCAGCUCUCAGACGCCACUCACGCCAUUGACAACACUUACCUCCUCUUCUCCGCCUACCUAGUCUUCGCCAUGCAACUCGGCUUUGCCAUGCUCUGCGCUGGCUCAGUCAGAGCUAAGAACACCAUGAACAUCAUGUUGACGAACGUCCUUGACGCAGCUGCUGGUGCACUGUCUUAUUACCUCUUUGGUUUUGCCUUUGCCUUCGGUUCACCUUCUAAUGGUUUCAUAGGACGCCACUUCUUUGGACUUAAAACUUACCCUUCUCCUUCGGGUGAUUAUAGUUUCUUUCUUUAUCAAUGGGCUUUUGCUAUAGCUGCUGCCGGGAUUACC